rnacentral:lncRNA from 1 species
GAUGAACAGUAACGCGAUUUCCUCUUUCUCGUUGAACAAUAUAAUGGGUUUUCACUUCGCCUUCAUUUCGCUUGCUAGAUCUGGUUUUCAAUUUGCAGCAGAUCUGGUUUUUGGGUCUUGCUUGAUUUAUGUUUUCUUAAUGUUUGCUUGAUUUUGGUGUGAAAAAAAAAUGUUUGCUUGAUUUUGCUAUGUGAUUUAUGGGUUCAAUUUC